CCAAAAGCCGCGUGGACUUCGCGCGAGCCGCUCGAGCACUCUUUUGGCUGGCCUUCGUUUCACUUCGUGGAAUUGUGUCGCAUCCGGUCUGACCGAGUCCACGAACAAGAGGAGACCUUUCCCACCCCCCCCCCCCCACCCCCACCGGGUAUUUUCCACGAGUUUCGUUUCAUGGACACUCUGUGGAAAUCAUUUGUGUUCAUGAUAGCAGCGAGGUCUGGUGCCGAUUCAGUGCACUAUCAAAGCAGAGUUUCUACACUAUGAGCAGCCAGUCCAUCCCAAGCCACGUUGACCCAUUGUUCGGAAGAAAGAUGCCAUUGUAUGAUGGGACCAUUUCAUCUGCAGGACUGUCGAAACCCCAAACUAUGUCUGAUUUGCGUGGCGGGCAUACCUUGCAGUAUAGCGGGGCCUGUUUUCCUUAUGACCCAAGAGGAAAAGAAGCGGCAGAGUUCACUCCUCCUUGGAGAAAGACUCCUCUGCUUUAUGACAGAAAUCCUAUGAGUCACCUCUCUGGCCGGGAGGGACAAAACCACAUCAUUUACAGCAAUUCUUCAGAAGAAGGCCAUCCCUCCUCCUGCAUCAAGCUGCAGUAAAACAGGGCUUUACAUUAUACACUAAAAGUCCUAGGAUGAGCAGUCCUGCAGCUGCUACACCAGGGACUAGUAGAAAACAAAAAAAUGGAACUGAGAAAUUAUCGCCCCCCUCUGAAAACACAAUUUACUUAGCCAUUCCUAAACCAGUUUAUGGACUAAGCCCUUGUUGUAGUGAAUUGGGUUGUGUGAUAGGACAUCAGUACAGUGUGGAUCAUGGUUCUCCGAGGAUACCAAAACAAGUGUAUGAACAUGAGUGGAUGCAAACUGAUGCUCACUACACUGAGAGAGGAAAAGCACAAGACGCAAUGCUGCAACAGAGAGGUUUACCGUGUGAGCCCAGUGCAGAGGCACUGAGGAGGAUGACAGUGGGGACAUACAGCCCAGGUAGAGAUAGGACCUUUCCUGCUAUGAUUGAUCCAAACUACAGCAGCUACCCCUUCGCCCUACCGCACACUUUGUUUGGUUCUUUAAGUGAGCAGGGCCAGCGUAUACAGACUUCUCCCAGAGGCUACCCCAGCUUCUACCCCUCCCACCCUACAUACGAGCAUAUGACCUCAGAGGUUUAUCAGGAACAUUCUCCCAUGUCCAAAUAUGGCCAGCUAACACAGCAACCGAUGUUUUACUACCCUCAGGCAAAUGUGGAGGUAGAAAAUAGGACACAGUGUAAAGAUAUUGGCAGCAAGCAGAGAGAAGAUGUCCCUGUUAUUCUUAAACAUUCAAUCUCCGACCACAGAGAGCAUUACAUGGUUCCCCAGUCGCUUCAUGGUAAAAUCCCUCUGCCUUUGUCUGAUGAAACUUUGCAUAAUCAUUCCCUCAUGCACGGUUUUAACCAUCAAGCUUUUGCAGUUCCUGGACUUCACUCAAACACAAACCAGAUAAGACAGCUCUUGAAUUCUAAUCACAGAAAUGUUUCUCCAUCAAGAUCAUACAUAGAUCACCCUAUGACCACUGCAAGCAACCUACGUAAGGACAGACCCAACGCAAACCUGCCCCAAACCACUUCACCAUUUCAUGUGAAUCAAACUAGUCCUUCAAGGGGUACAAGCCAACCCGGUAUCUCGCCAUCCAGCAUUGAAGUUAACAGAUUUUACCCCCCGCUCACUGGCCUACACAUAGACCGACCCGUCCUUCCACCGACUGCCUUGAACGCGAAUCAACUCCGGGACUAUUCCUCCUUUGAAGCUCAGGUUAAGUGUCCAAUGCAGGCAAAAGGUCUUCCUGUUUCCUCAUGGGCAUGGCUGCCCCGGCCCCUCCAUCACAGCUCAGGGUUAGUCCAAACAUCUUUACCAGAUAGUGUAAAUGUCCCAAAAAUAAUUUAUUCCCCUGCUGAUACACCAGGAAAAAACAUCCAGUGCCAUAUGUCCAGUCCAAGCACUGCUGUUCCUAAGAAAUGCCUAAAGAGAAGUAUGUCUCACUCAUCUUCCCCUGUCAAAAUAGAAAAAGAGGAUCGGGAAUUAUAUCAGACGGAUCUCUUUAAGAAAAGACAAAAGGUGAAAAUGGAGAAUAUACAAGAGAAAAACAAAAGUGACUCUUGUAUGCCGAUUAUUGACAAUGUCUUCAGUCUGGCACCUUACCAAGCAUACCUGCAGGCCCCAGGACUGCUAUUUCCCGGCAGAGUGUCUCAGAUAAUCGCACAUUCGUCUGAGCACCGGGAGGUGAAAAGCAGGCCAGACAUCAAAGAGAAAAAGCUAUGUCAGGAUAAACAGCAGCCUGAAGUCUGUCUACUUUCCGAAGAAGUCUGUGCAGAUACUCCAACAGAGAACCCUGGUGUAGAAAUGAUUGAACUUGAAAAUAUAAAAGUGGAAAAAGUAGAUCCGUCAGACAAGGACAACUCUCUUAUUGCGAGGGACUGCAGCAAAGAAAUGAUCCAAAAGGAGUCCAAAGGUACUGAUUCUGAUCCUGAUGAACUUGAAGCUAAACCCUUACAGGAAGAGCAAAAAGAGGCUGCUGAUGUGUCUAAACCUGGUGAAGAGACUGCACUGAUGAAUAUAUUGGGUCAGGAUGAUGCAUUAACACCUUGGGAAAAGUGGUCACCAUUAAACCUAACCCCAACACAUCCUCUCAACUACUUGAGAACAGACUCAAAUUCAAAAAUAUUCCUCCCCAGUGUCUGAAACUUUCCAGUUACAAAAUUGUUUUCCAUGGUAUAAACCAUUCUAGCCCUGUUCUGCCUCUUGAAAAGACUCCUGUAAAACCAAUGACUGAAUUUGUACCAAAACCUGAGCCCCAAACACCAGUCCGCAAGCACUUCUUUGAGUUGCACCAUUCUCUCUGCAAGCUUGUAUCCAAAUCUGUUCUGGUUCCUUCAAAGCAUGACCUCAAGACCUGGUUGUCCCAGCUUGAACUGAGUGGACCAGCAUCUCCGCCAACAAAAGUCAAGAAGAUUUCCUGCUUGUUUGGGAUAAAAGGCAGAGAGGUUUGGCUUACUGAGGAGAUGAAGUCCGCCCUCCACACGCUCCUGGAGCGGCUGAGGGAGUAUACGGCUCAGGAACGUUGUCCAUUCCCUCAUGUCAUGCGAACAGGGGCGGUGUUCCUCCCCAUGCUGGUGGUGAAGGAGCUGCUGUUUCCGACUGUUCAGGGCAGCCUCAUCGACCAGGUCCUGCAGGAGCACAAAGUGGAGCUGCGACCCACCACGCUCUCGGAAGAAAAAAUCCUCAUCCAGCUCCACAAACGAGCCUGUUCGUCCAGGCUCCGGAAACUGAUGUCGCUCAAGCACCUGCCUGACAUCUACGCCGACGUGGUCAACCUGAUGUACUACACCUGUGUCUGCAAACACCUGGGUGAGUGAAUGUUUACAUCAGAGUUACCAAGGUAACAUAACAAGUGAAUAUUGAGUAAAUAAGUUCAAUCAGGAGAGACAAUUGAAUAAAGACAAUUAUUUAUUACAAUCAAAUAUGGAAACGUUCCUUCACAGAAAUAAUUUUGGCGCUUGGACUCUAUGGGUAGAAUGUGUAGAAUGACAAUUCUUAGCAAGGUCAGAAUAAAUUCCCCCCCCCCCAUGGAGUCCAGACACUGGUGGUGGUGAAGCUGAUGACUUGAUGAGACCAGAUGGGAUGAGAAAUGAUGGAUGAUGAUUCUGCGAGAUGGCGGUGUUGGGGAGUGGAGGGGCGCACAAAACGUCAGCAUACUACGGGAGAGAAAGAAUCAUAUUUAAAAGGGGAGCAGUACGAUGAUAGGGCGGAACACCAUGCCAUUGGUUAGAUGAGUACCGCUGACGAUACAGCUGAUUAACCAAUGACAGCCCACAGAAGAUGAAAGCUCAAGAAUGACAGCGGAAACGAGAGUAAAGCAGUUAUAUAGUCUUCCUUACUGAAGUUACGCUAGAGCUUCAUUAAGUAAAUGGGUAUUACAGUUUUAAUGUUUUAAUCCUUUAAAAAAUGUUGAUAUGUGUUUUCUUAAUAAGUCUUUCCUUAGGAUGUUGGUUCAGAAGUUUGUCUUCUUUGUGUGAUCAAGACAAAUAAUGUAGAGGUGCUGCAUUUGGUAACAGUAAAACAGAAAAUGAUGGAAGCAACUACUUGUUUGACCAACACUGAAGUAAAAAAAGGGUCCAAGAAGGAGGCUGAAAAUGAACGAAUAAUGAACAUGUAUUCAAGGAGCGAAAGGACUGGGUCUCCAUAUUUCAUACCUUUUAAAAAAAAUAAUAAUAAUAAUUAAAAAAAACAUGACCUGACCAUUAUUGGCCAAUAUCCAUUAGUUUUGAAACUGCUCCGGACAAGUGAUAACUUCAGCAGAUACAACAUAAAGGUUUGUAGAAUUAGAGCAUACUGUAUUUGACAGUGUUGGUGUUUAAGAUGGAUUCAUAAACUCUUCUGGGAUUGUAUCCAAAAUGAAUAAAUCCUUUUAAAUUGAUCAAAUAAUGGUAUCAAAUGAAGUAUAGGGUUUGUUGGUAUUCUCUUCAUCUGUUACACAUCCAUACAUUAUCUUUUUAAAUGUUGUACAACUACUUAAGCAGUUCAGGGAAGCGUCUUUAAAAAAAUAUUGCUUUCAACCUCAGCAUGAAUCAGCUUGAAAAAAAGCAAGGUCAUCUUAUUUCUCACGACUUACUGUAGUAUGAUACUCUGUGGAAUUUCAGUCUCAGGUACUGAAACUCUUUCAGGUCAAAUAUACCAAUGUUCUCGACAUAACGUCGGUGCAUUUGACCUUUUUCUAUAAUUGAACCCUGUGUUAUUUACUGUGAAGAACAGCACUUCCUUAUUCUAGAUUUCUAGAAUCCCCAUUGAGUGCGGUAUGCAGCUUCAUAUUUAGACUGUUAACUGUAACAUUGUAAACCUACAAAACACAAUUGGUUAUCUUAUAACUCAUUAGCCCCUUUAGAGAAUCAUUGAAAAGGAAUGGCAAAACACUUCAAUGUUCUGUAUAAAAUCCAUUUAUUUUUUCCAGAAUCAACCUCACCUGAUGGCCAAAAGAAAGUCCAGGAUUAAAAAUGGACGAUUCUGUUUUCAAAGAAAAAGAUGACGGUUGUGAGGAAUCUAUCAGCUGCAGGAGCCCUAUGUUUUCAGACACCACAGUGUCACCAGCCUCGCUUGCAGAGUUGCACCCACAGAGACACCCGAAUGAGGAAGCUAAUGUGAACAAGAAUAGAACCAAAACCAGGGUGAAGACCAGCUCCAGGCGCAUGUUUCUCGACAACAGUAUGUCAGAUGAGGAAGAGGCAGAUGACACAGAAAAGACUGUGGAGGUAGGUGUUUUUAAUGCUGAAGCAGAGCAGGACUCUUCUUUGAGCACAACUUCUGAUAAUUCAUGGACCUGUCCUUUAACUGUGGACGAACUUUCCUCAUCUCCAAGUGACAUUGAAGCAGAGGAGUCCUCUAGUCCUGAUACUCAGUACUCUCCACCAGAUAAAUCUCUGGUUAGAUCCAAAAAAUGUUCAGGCGUGAUUCUCAAACUGAGACGAAUGUUAAGCAAAGAUCUAAACAGGAAAACUGCCUGCUACCAAGCCAUCUCGGACUCAGGGACACGUGUUGAUCCUUCUCGGACUGAUGAUAGGGAUGGAGAAGUGAGCAGCGAGAUGGAGCUUCACCGGCAGACUCCCAGGAUGACCCACAGGUGGCAGAGAACAGGAAACUUCUGCCCCGCCUUAAGACCCAUCAGCAGCUCUUCAAAAAGAAAGCACAGAUCGCUUUUAAAGAUCAAAUACUGUCCCUACUUGUCCGCCUGCCACAGCGCCGAAACCAGGAAACGAUGGGGUGCUGCGUUCGGCUGUUCAGAGGGCACGCAUGGCCAUGAGGUUAUACUACCCGGACCUAGUGGGUAAGAGGAUUCUACAUCUGUAUGAAGAAGAUGACAAAUCAGAAGUGUGGUACAGAGGAGAAGUGAUGCGUAUCCAUGAGGCCCACACCAACCCUCUAAAGACAAUAUUUGAGGUCCAGUACGACAGCGAGCCGGAGUGGAAGUACUACCUGGAGCUGAUGAUAGAUUAUAAAAAAGGCUGGCUGAAAAUAGAUGACUAGUUGCGCCACAAAAACAUCCAGGUGUUUUUUUUUUUUUUUUUUGGUUUAAAGCGCAUAAUUCAUUGACUUGUCAUUAAAUCCAUGGCGAUGACAGCAUGAUAAGCCUUAAAUAUCUUUCUGGCCUCCUCAGGAAAAGACGUUUGACUGGAUCGGUUUUUCUAUUGAGGUUAUAUUCUUUGUUACCUAAGAGCUUCAGGGUGCAUUUAAGGAAACAACUACAGCAAACGUACAGCAUUCUGUUCAUGUUCUGGUAAAGUGCUCAUCAAUAUGAAGCAUUAACAAAUGGCCUUUCUGUUGUAUUCAAUAUUGAGACUGUAAUGUGAGACAGGGUUGACUGUUUAUAUUUAAAAAUGUUCAAAAAGGUUUCCCUCACACUUCUAAAUUAUUAGCGACUUUGACUGUAAGGAUUUAUGUCCAACUGUGUGAGCCACGUGUGUUUACAGUAAUAUAUUGCCUGAGGUGGAUGUCAUAGCAGUGAUUUUUUUUACCAUGAUGAUUGUUGUUUUGAUUGUAACUGAUGCUAGGCAGGCAUUCAGGAGGUUCAGUAUGAAGCUCCUCAACAGUUGUUUUUUUUAUGACAGUCAGAGAUAUGCCCCUGCCAUUGUUGUGAAUUACUGUGAACCUUGCCACUUUAACCUUAUGCCUUAUUUUGUAUAAUUUUCUUAUACAUGUGUUCAUAAAAAAAUGAAAACAUCAUUCCCAUUGUUGUCUUUCAUAAAUGUUUUUCAUGCUUUUAUUUUA